rnacentral:snRNA from 1 species
GUGCUCACUUUGGCAGUACAUAUACUCAAAUUGGAAUGAUACAGAGGAGAUUAGCAUGGCCCCUGUACAAGGAUGACACACAAAUUCAUGAAGCGUGCCAUAUUUUU